ACGGGAGGCAGCAGUGGGGAAUACUGCACAAUGGGCGAAAGCCUGAUGCAGCGACGCCGCGUGAGUGAAGAAGUAUUUCGGUAUGUAAAGCUCUAUCAGCAGGAAAGAAAAUGACGGUACCUGACUAAGAAGCCCCGGCUAACUACGUGCCAGCAGCCGCGGUAAUACGUAGGGGGCAAGCGUUAUCCGGAUUUACUGGGUGUAAAGGGAGCGUAGACGGUUUUGCAAGUCUGAAGUGAAAUGCCGGGGCUCAACCCCGGAACUGCUUUGGAAACUGUAGGACUAGAGUGCAGGAGAGGUAAGUGGAAUUCCUAGUGUAGCGGUGAAAUGCGUAGAUAUUAGGAGGAACAUCGGUGGCGAAGGCGACCAACUGGGCUUUUACUGACGCUGAGGCUCGAAAGCGUGGGUAGCAAACAGGAUUAGAUACCCUGGUA
rnacentral:rRNA from 1 species